rnacentral:lncRNA from 1 species
AUCGAGAAUGGGGAGUGCAACCUUGGCAUUUUCCGUAAAGAUGCGUAUGUCCCCUUGUUUAUACCAGCAACAUCGCGGGAGCCCUGGUCAUGCAAGACGGCCGCAUUUGGAUUCUUGUUACAACGGAUAGGGGCCCAUUGUGCAACAUGUGGAGGUCGGAUGGGGGAGCUGCGUUGGAUUGUGGAGCAGGCUGUUGGACAUGGAUACAGUGAGAAUUUGAUUAUCACCAUGUGGAGUGGGAUAACCAGGAGGAGCGACGGGAGGAGUGGUGCGGUGGACGAGAGACGGGGGCCAUUCAUUGACAUCGACAUGGGCCCACUUGCCAUGAGGUGUGGACGGAGAAUUGAAGAAUGUACGGGCUCCAGGGUGGUGUUCAAUGGACGGAGUGCUGUGUUUGGUCUAAUGCGAGGCGGCGGGGAUGGGAGAGCUACCGGCGCAGGACCGGGCAU